GUCAAAGCUGAUACUGCAGACUUUCUGUUGUGGCUGAGAGUUCAGCACAGAGUGUGUAAGGAAACACUCAUCUGCUCUUACUCUUCUUGCUUCAGAAGCAGCCGAGGCUGAGCAACAGAACUCUAGCGUGACAAUACACACAGGGUGCAAUGUGGCAUACUGUACUAACCAUCUGAGCUGGAAGCCAGACACAAGAUGUCUCCAGUCCUCAAGCUAUCCCAGGAUCCCCUGCCACCCCAGCCCCCAUGUCUACAGCAUUUCCUGUG